CAGGUAAUGAGAGAAUCAAUCGGGCAGGAAUACCGGGAAGUCGUUGAAAGAAGGGUAUUCACUGUAACUGGUAAUCGCCUUGAUGAAGAGGAAGAAGUGAGCAGAUUUUCAAAGAUGCAGUUCAGCAGCAGGGGAGAGCCCAUGUAUAUAUGAGUUAUAACUUGGUCAUGAUCUGGACACUUGUGGGAAAAACACAUCGAAAUCUCAGGAUGAUAAUUUUUCAUCCAUGUUGCAGAUAUUGGAUACUGUUGUUGAGAUACAGGAGCGGCAUGAUGCUGUAAGAGAUCUAGAGAGGAAGCGUCUGGAGUUGCAGAAGAUAUUCCUGGAUAUGGCAGUGUUGGUUGAGGCUCAAGGAGACAUGAUCAGCCACAUAGAGACACAUGUAAGACGAUGAAUGUUCAGGGUAGUAUUUUUUUUCAAAAAUAUGUUCAGGGUAGUGUUAGUACGCAACAAGUAAAAACACAAUUUGUGAUGCCGCCUCCACCGGUAGUGACAACACGGUCGCUGCAUGUGGUCUAUCCUGAGCCUCUGAUUGUGGUUGCUGUUCUUUCGAUAUCCGCUUGCCAUGAUAUUGUGGCUGGACUUCUGGUAUGUGUAAUGUGUUACCUCUAAAUUUUUUUAUCUGGACUAAUUAGGGCCUGCUUCUGUUUGCUCUAAUUGAUAUAAUGGUUGUGGCAUGCAGCAGCCAAGCCAACAACAGAGCCAGGCUUAGGCCUGAUAAUGAGUUGACAAAUAUGGUCAAAAUGCUGGAGAUGACGAAUCUAACGAAA